CAUGGUCCUGCUUUCCGUGAUUGGAUGGAUGCUAUCAACGCUCGCUCCAUUGAGGAUCACCUGGCAGAUGAGUUCUCAACCAUGAUGCUCCAUUUGAUGUGUUCAUAUUUUACUUGUGCCACCCGGCGACAAAGUGUUGGCUACUGUAUCACCACCACCUCUGAUUUUAGUCGUGAAAAGUUUUCCUCAGGACCAUUCUGUAGAAGUACUACUUUUCAUAGUUAUCUUAUUCCGUUCUCCUUUUCACUAAGUUACUUUCAGUAAAAACAGUUGCGUGGAGCUACUUAUAGUUAGAAUCAGUUAAUAUGUAUACAGUGUGGUCGUGUAACUCAGAUAAUUAAUAUCAAGCACAGGCGUAAAAGAAAUAACUUGAAUAUAGCAGUACAAUUAUUACAAAAAUGUCACAUGGACCGUGCAUAUUACACAAGGUUAAAAAGCUGAGUGGACAAUAAACUUUUUAUUUUGUAGAGACAUAAUUCAGACUAAUAGGACACCCGAAGUCAGGUUCGGACCACCAGAGCAAUCUGAGAGGCUUUACAGCCUCCCGAGCCGAAGGUUCGUGUAGUACCGUAUGGUCAGCCAUUGUCGUAGAAACGUCAUGACACGGGUUAGUAUAGAUAGACGAGUUGGGCCAAGUGUUAGACGAUAAGCUGCUAGCUCAGCAGCUACUGGCUCAAAGACAAUAUGGUUCUCGUCAGUUGAUUUCAAAACUCCUACAACAUUUAGAAAACAGAAAGGGUUAGAAUACUCAUGUAUAUUAACUAUUAAGCAGUUUAGUAAAGUAAACACUACAUUCUAACACACGUUGUGUCAUCUAGCAGGUGUAAACUGCAACUUACUACAAUUUGAUGAUAUAGCGCAAUAUCGUAGACUCCAAUUAGUGAUCAGAAAAAUGUGUGUCAGUUCUUGUGUACGUUGUUGCUGUACUGUAAAGAUGCCUCUCAAUGCUUGCCUCUCAUUAUCGAUGAAAAGCUUUGACUUCAGUUUGGUGAGUAGCCCAUACAGAGAAGUGGGUUGCAAUAUUAACUUGUAUGAACCAGAACCUAUAUCUGGGAGUUUAAAAGUGUGUUAGAUUUUUAGUUGCAUUAUGUGUUCCCAUGGUCAUGCAUCUGCUGUGGUGUCUGCAUUAUAAGAUCAUAUGUCAUACCUAUUGGUGUCUGAUCAACUGAAUUUUGUAGGUCUUCCUGUUGCUUACCAAGAAAUUUUGAAGAGCAGAUCGAUUUAGUGUGGCAAUUCUGUAAACAUGCUGGCAGUGUUCCUUCCAUGGCUUUCAACUUCCGCUUCAUCCCAUGAACAUGAAGAUAUUCGUAACUGCUUAUGUAAAAUAGUACCUGAAGAGAAACUUCUUCAGCAGGUUGUAUUUACUUGGAUCAAAGGGAAAGCAAGCAGAGAAGUGGUGCAGGGUAGAAGUCAUAGCUGCAAAGAUGCCUCCGUUGUUGAUCAAGCUGAUGUUUCUGCCACUCUAGGAGUUCAUGUAUGAGAUAACUUUCAGAAGCUACUCCAGGAGUAGAGUAUACCUGCAUUUUGACUAUGAUCGUCCUCUUCUUCUUCAUGUAUGUUGAGGUCCUCUUCUGGUGGAGGAGUGCAAUUGAGGUCCAAAAUUGAUAGUGCCAUUCUUGCUGAUGCCAUUUUAUUGCUGAUCCAGAUUUUAUUACUGGACAAUGGCUGUCUUCGAUACAAUCUGGAGAUAAGUAGUGUAUAAGCGAGCUGUCGCUUCAGCAGUAAGGAGACGCCGUAGCAACAACACAUAAUAGUGCUCACAGAUCAGGGUGCAUAGGAGUAACUCAUACACGCAAUUCCUACAGAUUACAAUGGAGGGGCGAAAGACCGAGAUACUACUUUUGUCGAAUGCAUGCAGGAGAAAGAAAUACACUACUUCCUCCGAUUCAAAUGAUGGGGAAUUCGCUCUGAUGACAACCAAUUUCAGAUGGGCAUACAGCUUAGAGGUGUGAUUACGUACCUUCACUCUCCUUGAUGAUCCGAACACAGAUUGUAAACUCUCCCAGAUGAUCCAUACACCUUUGUAUUAAAGGUGUGAUUAUAGGAGGUCUCUCGCCCAGCCAUGCUUGAGGGUACCCUUUAUAUGCACUCACCAAGAAAUCUGAUGGACUUCUCUGGUUUGGAGAUGUGAAAUUGUAGAGAUCCGGGGCAAGU